rnacentral:rRNA from 1 species
UGGCGGACGGGUGAGGAAUACAUCGGAAUCUACUUUUUCGGUGGGGGAUAACGUAGGGAAACUUACGCUAAUACCGCAUACGACCUACGGGUGAAAGCAGGGGAUCUUCGGACCUUGCGCGAUUGAAUGAGCCGAUGUCGGAUUAGCUAGUUGGCGGGGUAAAGGCCCACCAAGGCGACGAUCCGUAGCUGGUCUGAGAGGAUGAUCAGCCACACUGGAACUGAGACACGGUCCAGACUCCUACGGGAGGCAGCAGUGGGGAAUAUUGGACAAUGGGCGCAAGCCUGAUCCAGCCAUACCGCGUGGGUGAAGAAGGCCUUCGGGUUGUAAAGCCCUUUUGUUGGGAAAGAAAUCCAGCUGGUUAAUACCCGGUUGGGAUGACGGUACCCAAAGAAUAAGCACCGGCUAACUUCGUGCCAGCAGCCGCGGUAAUACGAAGGGUGCAAGCGUUACUCGGAAUUACUGGGCGUAAAGCGUGCGUAGGUGGUCGUUUAAGUCCGUUGUGAAAGCCCUGGGCUCAACCUGGGAACUGCAGUGGAUACUGGGCGACUAGAAUGUGGUAGAGGGUAGCGGAAUUCCUGGUGUAGCAGUGAAAUGCGUAGAGAUCAGGAGGAACAUCCAUGGCGAAGGCAGCUACCUGGACCAACUAUUGACACUGAGGCACGAAAGCGUGGGGAGCAAA